GCUGGGUGUGGUGGUGUAUGCCUGUAGUCCCAGCUACUUGGGAGGCUGAGGCAGGAGAAUCGCUUGAACCCAGGAGGUGGAGGUUGCAGUGAGCCAAGAUUGAGCCAUUGCGCUCCAGCCUGGGUGACAGAGCGAGACCCUGUCUCAG
ensembl:misc_RNA Metazoa_SRP Metazoan signal recognition particle RNA